AUCAGAUAUGAGACGAUCAGAGCCGAGAUCCAGAAGAACUGAACUCCCAUCCCCCGAGUCCUGCGGCAGGAAGCGCUCCUUCUCUCCAAGAACUCCUGGACCCUGCAAGCUGGUCCAGAACCAGAGUCCCAGUGAGGAGUCCAGCCAGUCCACCUCUCAGAGUUAAACUAAACUACAACAUUAUUAAAGAUCAUGUUUAAAGUUAAAAAAGGAUGCUUUCAGACUGAAUCCAGAAGUUUCUCAAGCUGCAGUCAAAGCAGGUCAUUUG